rnacentral:lncRNA from 10 species
GGAUGUGCUGGGCCUGACCAGCCGCCCGCUUUCCUCUUCUCUUGCCUCUGCCUGCCCCCUGGUGGACAGCUGGGGUAAAGCAUGGGAGUGCGCCUUUGGGGUCUCAGUGGGGCUGAAAUACGACUCCUCCCCUAGGACAGCCUGCCUUCCCCAGCCUUGUUCUCCGGCAAAGUCAAUUUCCUGGAGAAUCGAGGCUCUGCCUCAGAUGUUCGGAGCCUCCGCAGGAUGAACACCUCCAUUUCAAUUCCAGGGGCUUUGAUCAACCUGUGCCUCCCUUGAUCCCCAACUUGUGGGCACCUUCCCUUGAGCAGUGCCCCCACGAGGUACACCUUUCCCGGGAAACAAAAAUCAUUCCUUCUUUGGGUCCUGCAAGCUGUAAAGAACCAAUACAGCACUGUGCUACUGAACAUGUUGCCACUAUAGAAGCCCCUUGUGUUUUGAAGAGUACAUCUCUAUAGCCAUUCGUUUAUUCAUCAGAAACCAGCUAGAAGCCAGGCCCUGUGCUGGGCGCUGGAGACAUGGAAGAAACUGGGCUGAGGCUCCCGCCUUGAAGAGCUUGUGGCCCAGGGAAGGGACAGUUCAUCUGUCAUUGAUUGCCACGUGACAGUGUCUAUGAUGCUAAAAAGAUGCCAGUGCUGUGCUGCAGGAGCAAAGGCCGUGGAGGAAGAGGCUUUGGCUUUGUUGCGAGUCCUUGCCAGAGCCAGGCAAAGCCAGUCACCGCUUUGUUCAGAUGACUCAGGUAAAUAAAUGAGGCCGCACAGGCUGUCCUGACACCACACACCUCUAGAAUACCCUGGCUGUGCUGGGAGCUAUUGGUGUCAGCUGAGUAUUUUCAUCCCUGUCCAAGUCACAAUGAUCUGACUGUACCAGCCUGUGUGGAUGUUGCUAAGAGGAGGCAGACAGCACCAUGAGCUCCCUUAGAUGACGAUCGGCAUGAUGUUCCUGCUGUGGCAGCGCUCAGCUCUUGCCAAUGCUCUUCUCUGCUUUGCUCACUUUAAGCCUCCCUUAAUUUUUUUGAAGCCCAGUUUCCACAUUGCUGAUUCACAGAUAUGCAAGACUCAGGCAGGAAAAAAAAAAGUGUCUCCUUUUCCAGACUUCUUAGAGGACUUGGAAAGAAAAUGAAAUGACGUUGAACGAAAUCAAAGUAAAUUGAGUGAUCUGAAACGAUUUGAUGUCAGCAAGAAUUCCCCAUACAGCUCACAGCCCUACCCCGAGCACGCCUCCCUCUUGGCUCUCUGCAGGCCCAAACCUUGCAGAAGCCAUUCCAUGUUUCCUGAGCAGGAAAAGACAAACUCAGACCGACAACCUUGGACUUCAAAAGACUGCACACAAGGGGAGGAAGGACUGAGAGUACCAAGGCGUGAGAAUUCAGAAUGCUGCUAUCUCAUUUAUUUUUACCAUUUAGGAAACGUUUUGAUCUGCAUUCCUUUUCCCUUCCCUGAUUUCAAAAAAUAAAAAUAAAAAUGCUUCGGUUCUGAGGAGUAACUCUCCAGAUGGAAGGGGAAGAUCAGGGGAUGAAUGGGGGAGGGCUGCUUGCGUCCUCUCCCCUGCCACACACACGCUCUCUGUUUCAGCCAGUGUAAAAAUAGCCGCCCAGGUUUAUGUAUUCAUCCCUAAGCUGCAAUGAAGCGCCUGCCUCCCGGCCAGAGUCCGCUGCCUUUUAGUAGCUUAUAACAUCAGGUGACGCCUCCAGCCCUCCCAUUCCCCGCCCCAGCCCGGAUAAACGUCCUCCGUGACCUUAGAAGUUUUCAGUUUAAUCAGCGGUAUCGUUUUUGAGAGGAAAAUCCUCCCAGCUUUGCGGGCUGGCAGGGCUCUGGGGCCCUCCCCUGCCUCCCAGCCCAGGCCGCAGAGCGAGAGCGUUUCCAUCUGUGCUGCGAGCGGGAAGAGCCUCUCUGUGCUCCCCGGCACGUCCAGCGCGCGGGCGGGAACACGCUCUCCUGUGGGGGGCAGCUUUCCCAGGGACCUUGCCUAACGAGGGCCAGGCGGCUCCCCCGUGGGCCCCGAAUGGCUCCUGGCAGGCAGACCCCUAUCCCUGUCGAGAGCACUGAUUUCCCCAGCGUCGGGGGAGGCAGCCGCGCCCUCCUGGAGCGAGGCAAUCCAGCGGUCAGGCGGCGGCGAG